rnacentral:rRNA from 1 species
UACGUAGGGACCAAGCGUUGUCCGGAAUCAUUGGGCGUAAAGCGCGCGUAGGUGGCCAUUUAAGUCCGCUGUGAAAGUCAGAGGCUCAACCUUUGAAAGCCGGUGGAUACUGGAUGGCUAGAGUACGGAAGAGGCGAGUGGAAUUCCUGGUGUAGCGGUGGAAUGCGCAGAUAUCAGGAGGAACACCAAUAGCGAAGGCAGCUCGCUGGGACGUUACUGACACUAAGGCGCGAAAGCGUGGGGAGCAAACAGG